rnacentral:rRNA from 1 species
UACAGAGGUCUCAAGCGUUGUUCGGAUUCAUUGGGCGUAAAGGGUGCGUAGGCGGCGCGGUAAGUCGGGUGUGAAAUCUUAGAGCUUAACUCCGAAACUGCAUUCGAUACUGCCGUGCUUGAGGACUGGAGAGGAGACUGGAAUUUACGGUGUAGCGGUGAAAUGCGUAGAUAUCGUAAGGAAGACCAGUGGCGAAGGCGGGUCUCUGGACAGUUCCUGACGCUGAGGCACGAAGGCCCAGGGGGAGCAAACGGGG